AUUGAACGCUGGCGGCAGGCCUAACACAUGCAAGUCGAGCGGAGCGGCGGACGGGUGGGUAAUGCCUAGGAAUCUGCCUGGCCGUGGGGGAUGACGUACGGCAAGGGGCGCUAAUACCUCAUACUAUCUGACGAGCCUAGGUAGGAUUAGCUAGUUGGUGGGGUAAAGGCCUACCAAGGCGACGAUCCGUAACUGGUCUGAGAGGAUGAUCAGUCACACUGGAACUGAGACACGGUCCAGACUCCUACGGGAGGCAGCAGUGGGGAAUAUUGGACAAUGGGCGAAAGCCUGAUCCAGCCAUGCCGCGUGUAUGAAGAAGGCCUUCGGGUUGUAAAGUACUUUCAGCGGGGAGGCGUUACCCGCAGAAGAAGCACCGGCUAACUCCGUGCCAGCAGCCGCGGUAAUUC
rnacentral:rRNA from 1 species